GACGAACGCUGGCGGCGCGCUUAACACAUGCAAGUCGAGCGAUGAAACUUUAACAGCCCCCUUCGGGGCGAAGAUAAAGUGGAUUAGCGGCGGACGGGUGAGUAACACGUGAGUAGCCUGCCUUAAAAUUGGGGAUAGCUCGGGGAAACCGGGAUUAUUACCAAUAAAAUCAUUAUUGCACAUUGUCAUAAGGUCAAAAACCCCGUGGGGCUAAGAUGGAUUUGGGUCCCAUUAGUUAGUUGGUAGGGUAAAAGCUUACCAAGGCGACGAUGGGUAGCCGGCCUGAGGAGGGGAACGGCCACAUUGGAACUGAGAAACGGUCCAAACUCCUACGGGGGGCAGCAGUGGGGAAUAUUGCACAAUGGAGGGAACUCUGAUGCAGCGACGCCGCGUGAACGAAGAAGGCUUUCGAGUCGUAAAGUUCUUUUAUAUGGGAAGAUAAUGACGGUACCAGAAGAAAAAGCCCCGGCUAACUACGUG
rnacentral:rRNA from 1 species